CUACACGGGUAUCUAAUCCUGUUUGCUCCCCACGCUUUCGCGCCUCAGCGUCAGUUUCGUUCCAGAAGGCCGCCUUCGCCACCGGUUUUCCUCCCGAUAUCUACGGAUUUCAACCCUACACCGGGAAUUCUGCCUUCCUCUCCCGAACUCGAGCCACUCAGUUUCCAAUGCCCUUCCGGAGUUGAGCCCCGGGCUUUCACAUCGGACUUAGGUGGCCGCCUACGCGCCCUUUACGCCCAGUGAUUCCGAACAACGCUUGCACCCUCCGUAUUACCGCGGCUGCUGGCAC
rnacentral:rRNA from 1 species